rnacentral:rRNA from 1 species
AGAGUUUGAUCAUGGCUCAGAUUGAACGCUGGCGGCAGGCUUAACACAUGCAAGUCGAGCGGAGCGAGGGUGCUUGCACCUUAGCUUAGCGGCGGACGGGUGAGUAAUGCUUAGGAAUCUGCCUAUUAGUGGGGGACAACGUUUCGAAAGGAACGCUAAUACCGCAUACGUCCUACGGGAGAAAGCAGGGGAUCUUCGGACCUUGCGCUAAUAGAUGAGCCUAAGUCGGAUUAGCUAGUUGGUGGGGUAAAGGCCUACCAAGGCGACGAUCUGUAGCGGGUCUGAGAGGAUGAUCCGCCACACUGGGACUGAGACACGGCCCAGACUCCUACGGGAGGCAGCAGUGGGGAAUAUUGGACAAUGGGGGGAACCCUGAUCCAGCCAUGCCGCGUGUGUGAAGAGGGCCUUUUGGUUGUAAAGCACUUUAAGCGAGGAGGAGGCUUACCUAGUUAAUACCUGGGAUAAGUGGACGUUACUCGCAGAAUAAGCACCGGCUAACUCUGUGCCAGCAGCCGCGGUAAUACAGAGGGUGCGAGCGUUAAUCGGAUUUACUGGGCGUAAAGCGUGCGUAGGCGGCUUUUUAAGUCGGAUGUGAAAUCCCCGAGCUUAACUUGGGAAUUGCAUUCGAUACUGGGAAGCUAGAGUAUGGGAGAGGAUGGUAGAAUUCCAGGUGUAGCGGUGAAAUGCGUAGAGAUCUGGAGGAAUACCGAUGGCGAAGGCAGCCAUCUGGCCUAAUACU